CGCACAUUGCGCCCUUUGGUAUUCCGAAGGGCAUGCCUGUUCGAGCGUCAUUAUCACCCCUCGAGCCCCUGUGGCUUGGCUUUGGACGGUCUGGUCAGGCGACUGACCCCUCCUAAAGACAAUGACGGCGGCCUCGCAGGACCCCCGGUACACUGAGCUUCUUAACUGAGCACGUAUCGGAUUGAGGGUUCUCGGGACACGGUCUCCUUUCCCCCUCCCCUCGGGGCGGUGGGAAAACAAUCUUUCUCAGGUUGACCUCGGAUCAGGUAGGGAUACCCGCUGAACUUAA
rnacentral:misc_RNA from 1 species